GAGCUAUGAUUGCACCACCGCUCUCCAGCCUGGGCAAUGGAGCAAGACCCUGUCUCUAAAACAAGAAACAAAGUGCACCAGUGUGUGGAUACCAGCUUCUCCUGGUGUGUGGACCUGACUGUACUUGGCCCCAUCGGCAAAGAAAGCAGCUUACCUGAGGUCGCCUCUCAGGACAGGGCUGUGCUCUUCUGGGAUCACUGUGACAAUGCAGCUGGCCUAUGUGGACCCUCUCUCCUCACAUGGUGCAGGUCCCAUUGUGCCACCUCCAGACAGGCCACAUUAGUCUGAGGGCCUCCCUUCCCUGGUACCCAGCCCCCACCACUAGGUAUGUGCGCCCUCCCUAAAGCCCACUGUAUUCACCAGCUGUGUUUGAACUCUGUCUCUGUGCAAGGCCUCAUGCAAAGCCUGAAACAGCCUGGCUUGUAGAGGGCCAGGAGACCAAAGCUUGAAGACAGAGUGAUGGUCUCCCAGAAUCCACUUAGCCUCAGCCCCAGGGCUACGUCCAUGCUGGUCCUGGCUCCAGUGGGUCAAUUCUCUCCCAUGACGUCUGUAAGGGCUCCGGUGGUGAUGGAGAAGUACAGAGGAACCUGGUGCCAGCCGCAGUCAACCCUGAUGUGAUGACCUUUCUACCCGCCCUCUUUGAUGUCUUGGUGCUGGCCGCUGUCUUUGGCCAGGGUCUCACUCUCGCCCAGGCUGG